rnacentral:rRNA from 1 species
AAUAAGCGGAGGAAAAGAAACUAACAAGGAUUCCCCUAGUAACUGCGAGUGAAGCGGGAAAAGCUCAAAUUUAAAAUCUGGUGGUCUUUGGCCAUCCGAGUUGUAAUUUAGAGAAGCGUUUUCUGCGCUGGGCCAUGCACAAGUCUCCUGGAAUGGAGCGUCAUAGAGGGUGAGAAUCCCGUCUUUGGCAUGGAUAUAACCAGGGCUUUUGUGAUGCGCUCUCAAAGAGUCGAGUUGUUUGGGAAUGCAGCUCAAAAUGGGUGGUGAACUCCAUCUAAAGCUAAAUAUUGGCGAGAGACCGAUAGCGAACAAGUACCGUGAGGGAAAGAUGAAAAGCACUUUGGAAAGAGAGUGAAACAGUACGUGAAAUUGUUGAAAGGGAAACGCUUAAAGUCAGUCGCGUUGUCCAAGACUCAGCCUUGCCUUGGCUUGGUGUAUUUCUUGGUCGACGGGUCAGCAUCGAUUUUGACCCUUGGAUAAUGGUGAGGGAAAUGUGACACCUUUUAGGUGUGUUAUAGUCUCUUGUCACAUGUGAGGGUUAGGAUCGAGGAACUCAGCAUGCACUUUUUGGGUGUCGGGACUUUUGUCCACGAUACAUGCUUAGGAUGUUGGCGUAAUGGC